rnacentral:rRNA from 1 species
GCUAGAUGCGGGACUGCGGGCGCGGUAAGCAGGAGGGUGCAAGCUUGAAUCUGAAUUACUGGGCGUAAAGCGUGCGCAGGCGGCUUAGUAAGUCAGAUGUGAAAUCCCUAGGCUCAACCUAGGAACUGCAUGUGAAACUAAUAAACUAGAGUAUCGUAGAGGGAGGUAGAAUUCCAGGUGUAGCGGUGAAAUGCGUAGAUAUCUGGAGGAAUACCAGUGGCGAAGGCGACCUCCUGGACGAAAACUGACGCUCAAGCACGAAAGCAUGGGGAGCAAACAGGAUUAGAUACCCCGGUAGUC